UGGAGGAAAUGGAUUCAAACCAACUGGUUUGGAGAACAUAAGCCAAGCACAACCACAGGAUCAGACAUAGAAAUGGAGUGCAAGUUCAUCCAUUGUUGGUCACCAUUUUUGAGGAAGCAGUGUAAGAAUUCUGACAAAGCUUUAGUUCUGCAUUUUUGCAAGUACAAUGAAAAGAAGAACUAUAUAUACAUAAGAGACACUUCAGUCUCAUGAGAAGCAGUCCUUACAGGAUUUCCUGGACAGGAUCAAGAACCAUUGGAAAUAUUCAGAGAUUUUACUGGAAAUCGCUUGAGAACAGACUGUCUGACAGGCUCUGUUUUGAGUCAGCUUUGGAUAGAAACUGAAGUUUGGCAAUUAUGGAAAACAUAUGAAUUAUAAUCCUAUAAGAAUAAGCUGGAAAAGCAUAAAAACUGAGAAGCUGUUUCCAAAAACCCAAGGUCCAGAAUAAAGGUAAAAUUGCACCUGUAAUUAAAUGUAGACAGUGUGGUAUCAGGAGAAAACCCGCAAUGUUUAUAUUCCUUACAAAGAUCAUCUGAAAGUUGAUGAGAGAACUGAAACAUCAGCUCAUGGUUUGUGACAAAGACAAAUGUAAGCACAGUGUAUUUUUCACUGGAGCAACAUAUUUAGGGUAGAAGCAGA